rnacentral:ribozyme from 1 species
GAAAUCAGGCGAAAAACAGAAACAAACCCCUAAUCCAAAAAUGUUCUUGCCUAUUUGCUCCUCUCUGUUAUAACCUCUUGAGCCUUUCCCUUUUUUUUCUUCUCUUUUUUUGUGUCCUUUCUUUCUUUUUAAGGGGGGGCGCUUUGAUAGCGACGCACCGUGGAAGGUUCG